rnacentral:rRNA from 1 species
UACGUAGGGACCGAGCGUUGUCCGGAAUCAUUGGGCGUAAAGAGCGUGUAGGCGGCCACUUAAGUCCUGCGUGAAAUCUUGCGGCUCAACCGCAAGCGGUCGUGGGAAACUGGGUGACUAGAGUGCGGUAGGGGAGAUUGGAAUUCCUGGUGUAGCGGUGGAAUGCGCAGAUAUCAGGAGGAACACCGAUGGCGAAGGCAGAUCUCUGGGCCGUAACUGACGCUGAGGAGCGAAAGCGUGGGGAGCGAACAGG